ACUCCACUCUGGACGAUUCCGGGCAUAUUCCUCCUACUCAUCCCCCCUCUGACUCCUUUAUGCCUGUUAUAAAGAUUCUUCAAAAUGAUGUUUUCUAUGUCCUCUCUGGCCUCAAUCCUCAGAAGGCUUAUGGACCUGAUGGAGUGCCUCCUAUUGUCCUUAAAAACUGUGCCUCCGUGCUGUCACCCUGCCUGGUCAAACUCUUUCGCCUCUGCCUGUCAACAUCUACCUUUCCUUCUUGCUGGAAGUAUGCCUUCAUACAGCCUGUGCCUAAGAAGGGUGACCGCUCCAAUCCCUCAAACUACCGUCCUAUAGCUUUACUUUCUUGUCUAUCUAAAGCUUUUGAAUCAAUCCUUAACCGGAAGAUUCAAAAGCACCUUUCCACUUCUGACCUUCUAUCUGAUCGCCAGUAUGGGUUCCGCAAGGGGCGUUUUACUGGUGAUCUCCUAGCCUUCUUAACUGACUCUUGGUCAUCCUCUCUUAGCCGUUUCGGUGAAACUUUUGCUAUUGCGCUGGACAUAUCAAAAGCUUUUGAUAGGGUCUGGCACAAAUCUUUGCUUUCUAAACUACCCUCCUACGGUUUCUAUCCUUCUCUCUGUACCUUUAUCUCCAGUUUCCUUUCUGACCGUUCUAUUUCUGCCGUGGUAGACGGUCACUGUUCUUCCCCUAAAUCUAUUAACAGUGGUGUCCCGCAGGAUUCUGUCCUAUCUCCCACUCUUCUUCUGUUGUUCAUUGAUGAUCUUUUUUCCAAAACGAACUGUCCUAUCCAUUCCUACGCCGAUGAUUCCACUCUGCAUUACUCAACUUCUUUUAAUAGAAGACCCACCCUUCAGGAACUUAACGACUCAAGGCUGGAGGCUGCAGAACGCUAAGCCUCAGACCUUAACAUUAUUUCCGAUUGGGGCAAGAAGAACCUGGUGUCCUUCAGCGCCUCAAAAACACAGUUUCUCCACCUAUCCACUCGACACAAUCUUCCAAACAACUAUCCCCUAUUCUUUGACAACACCCAGCUAUCACUUUCCUCAACACUAAACAUCCUUGGUCUAUCCUUAACUCAAAAUCUCAACUGGAAACUUCAUAUCUCAUCUCUUACUAAAUCAGCUUCCUCGAGGCUGGGCGUUCUGUACCGUCUCCGCCAGUUCUUCUCCCCUGCACAGUUGCUGUCCAUAUACAGGGGCCUUGUCCGCCCUCGUAUGGAGUAUGCAUCUCAUGUGUGGGGGGGCUCCACUCACACAGCUCUUCUGGACAGAGUGGAGGCUAAGGCUCUUCGUCUCAUCAGCUCUCCUCCUCAUACUGAUAGUCUUCUACCUCUUAAAUUCCGCCGCAAUGUUGCCUCUCUUUCUAUCUUCUAUCGAUAUUUCCACGCUGACUGCUCUUCUGAACUUGCUAACUGCAUGCCUCCCCCCCUCCCGCGGCCCCGCUGCACUCGACUUUCUACUCAUGCUCAUCCCUAUACUGUCCAAACCCCUUAUGCAAGAGUUAACCAGCAUCUUCACUCUUUCAUCCCUCACGCUGGUAAACUCUGGAACAAUCUUCCUUCAUCUGUAUUUCCUCCUGCCUACGACUUGAACUCUUUCAAGAGGAGGGUAUCAGGACACCUCUCCUCCCGUAUUUGAUCUUGCUUUCGGCCACCUCUUUUGUUUCUUUUUUAGGAGCAGCGAGUAGCGGGCUUUUUUUUAUUAUUGUUUUCUUUUUUGUGUGCCCUUGAGCUGCCUCCUUUGUAGUAAAAAAAAAAAAACUUUGAUUAUAUUACAUCACUAGGGUAUCUUCAGUUCAGAGUUCAGUUUUCAUGGUAUUUGAAGUUGGGCACUUUCUACAUCUACUAUUAUCAACCAUUACUUUUUUCCAAAUGCAAGGUGGGAUGUCAAGGAUAUUUUUAUACUAAAAGAUACACCCACAGUUGUUUCAUGGCAUACUUUCACUGGUGAUAUACAAGGCAAUGUAGUUUUUAUCUCCCCUACAUAUUCAACAAUUGAUACAUAUAAUUAUGAGCCUAGAGCAAUCCAACUCGGAAAAUAUUAAAUAACUUUGGUGUGCUAUUUUGUCGUUUGAGAAUGAGAUCAGCAAAGACUGGGUCAUAAACAAACAGGAGAAUGAUUUAAUAAACAUUAUUUGUGGUGUGAAUACGACAGAGCUUCUCAGAGCUUGGAGAAACAUGUGGAUAAAAGACUUAGGGAUAUGAUAACAUGUGGAUGGCUUUCAAGAGUUAGUUGCUUUGUAUGGACUGACAAUUGCCCUUGCCUAUUUCUCAAUUCCUUCCGUUCUCUACUUGUUUAACUCCCCUCCCCCCCACCUUUUUCCCCACAACAGUGUACUCCCAGCAGCGCCUGUGCUGAUGGCCCCAACCCGGGAAGAUGCGUGACCAACGAAGAUUCUUGCGUCGCUAGAGAUGAAUACCUAACAGAUGAUGGGUGUGGCAACGCUGCCUGCAACUGUUGCAAGACCUGUGAGCCAGACUCUCGGUGUGCCCGUAAGAAUGGCAUAUGCGUCAACCCAUCUCAGGAAACUGGACAGACUGCCGUUCAUCACGAUCGAUGUCCCGAAGGUUAUCAUCAUUUUAGACCAGGCGCUUGCGGCACUGAUGACUGCAUCUGCUGUAUGCCAACGCCUCAAAAUGAGGGGUGAAACUGUGACCCUGAGCCACCGCCACCGCCUGCACGACCGCCGCCCUGACCGAGGACUGACCCUGCCCUGCCCUGCCCUUGACCUGACCCGCCUCACCUUCAUGCACGGACUUCCUGCACGUGCGCCGUGCACGCUGAUCCUCUGCAGAGUAUUCAAUUCUCCUUCUUCUUGGGCUUGAUGCCAGAGCACCCUUCUGCAAAGAAAAAGAAAAAAUAAUAAAUGCACAAACGUAAAUAGAGAGAUUAAAAAAACUUAACAUUUCAGCAGACAUGAAUUUUGACUUUCGAAAUUCUAUGUAUGCUCAGCUCGCAAUAUGUGUGUACCAGCUGUUCAGAAUUAUGCUGCAAAUAAAAUA